rnacentral:rRNA from 1 species
GAUGAACGCUAGCGGCAGGCCUAACACAUGCGAGUCGAGGGGGAAGUUACUUUCGGGUAACUGAGACCGGCGUACGGGUGCGUAACGCGUAUACAAUCUGCCUUUCACUGGGGGAUAGCCCGAAGAAAUUUGGAUUAAUACCCCAUAGUAUAGUAGUGUGGCAUCACACAACUAUUAAAGCUUAGGUGGUGAAAGAUGAGUAUGCGUUCUAUUAGCUAGUUGGAGAGGUAACGGCUCCCCAAGGCUAUGAUAGAUAGGGGUUCUGAGAGGGAUGUCCCCCACACUGGUACUGAGAUACGGACCAGACUCCUACGGGAGGCAGCAGUGAGGAAUAUUGGACAAUGGUCGGAAGACUGAUCCAGCCAUGCCGCGUGCAGGAUGAAGGUCUUAUGGAUUGUAAACUGCUUUUGUAAGGGAAGAAUAAGGACUACGUGUAGUUUGAUGACGGUACCUUAUGAAUAAGCAUCGGCUAACUCCGUG